rnacentral:rRNA from 1 species
GUGAAAAGCACCCCGGAAGGGGAGUGAAAUAGAACCUGAAACCGUGUGCUUACAAGUAGUCAGAGCCCGUUAAUGGGUGAUGGCGUGCCUUUUGUAGAAUGAACCGGCGAGUUACGAUUUGAUGCAAGGUUAAGCAGUAAAUGUGGAGCCGUAGCGAAAGCGAGUCUGAAUAGGGCGUUUAGUAUUUGGUCGUAGACCCGAAACCAGGUGAUCUACCCUUGGUCAGGUUGAAGUUCAGGUAACACUGAAUGGAGGACCGAACCGACUUACGUUGAAAAGUGAGCGGAUGAACUGAGGGUAGCGGAGAAAUUCCAAUCGAACCUGGAGAUAGCUGGUUCUCUCCGAAAUAGCUUUAGGGCUAGCCUCAAGUGAUGAUUAUUGGAGGUAGAGCACUGUUUGGACGAGGGGCCCCUCUCGGGUUACCGAAUUCAGACAAACUCCGAAUGCCAAUUAAUUUAACUUGGGAGUCAGAACAUGGGUGAUAAGGUCCGUGUUCGAAAGGGAAACAGCCCAGACCACCAGCUAAGGUCCCAAAAUAUAUGUUAAGUGGAAAAGGAUGUGGCGUUGCCCAGACAACUAGGAUGUUGGCUUAGAAGCAGCCAUCAUUUAAAGAGUGCGUAAUAGCUCACUAGUCGAGUGACACUGCGCCGA